rnacentral:pre_miRNA from 1 species
AGUAGGAUAGCUGGGUCAAUUGGCUGUUCCAUUCCAAGUUUUCUAAGGAAUCUCCACACUGCUUUCCAGAGUGGUUGUCACAAUUUGUAUCCCACCAGCAAU